rnacentral:rRNA from 1 species
GAGGAAAGAGGGAGGAGGGAAGAAGAAAGGAAAGUAGAGUGAACAGACGAGGAGCUUGCUCCUUUGACGUUAGCGGCGGACGGGUGAGUAACACGUAGGUAACCUACCUAUAAGACUGGGAUAACUUCGGGAAACCGGAGCUAAUACCGGAUAAUAUUUCGAACCGCAUGGUUCGAUAGUGAAAGAUGGCUUUGCUAUCACUUAUAGAUGGACCUGCGCCGUAUUAGCUAGUUGGUAAGGUAACGGCUUACCAAGGCAACGAUACGUAGCCGACCUGAGAGGGUGAUCGGCCACACUGGAACUGAGACACGGUCCAGACUCCUACGGGAGGCAGCAGUAGGGAAUCUUCCGCAAUGGGCGAAAGCCUGACGGAGCAACGCCGCGUGAGUGAUGAAGGUCUUCGGAUCGUAAAACUCUGUUAUUAGGGAAGAACAAACGUGUAAGUAACUGUGCACGUCUUGACGGUACCUAAUCAGAAAGCCACGGCUAACUACGUA